GAUACAAUUGAUACAAGCCCAACUGUGAAUGAUGCUUCUGGGCCAACUGGGAACACUGAGAAUGUGGUUAUUGGGCCUGAUAUGAGACCUGCUCGUGCUACCCGUUUACCAACCAAGUUUCGUGACCACAUCCUCUUCAAAUAAAGAUUCUCUUGCUUGCUUCCAGAAGGCCUCGUCACUAGUGUAUUUUCAAUUUUGUUAUGCAAUUCCAAUUACUAGAUUUCAUUAGAUUUCAUUGUAAGAUUUGGGGGAUAAAGGCUGUACGAAUGUCCUUUCCAUUUUAUGAAUGAAAUAACUUACAAUCUAUUUCCUUUCUCUUUCUAUUCUUGAGGAGGUUCUCAGUCCUAUAACUGAGAAACAUAUCAUUGGUGCUUUCAUUGAGCCACUCCCUCCAUGACUACCCCACGGCACACUGCUCCUCCGCCGCCCUCAAACGAGGAGCUUGCUCGUCAGUUAGCCACCAUUUCCACUCGUUUGGAAGCUGUCUGGAAACGUUUGGAUGACCCUAACGCAUCUUCUUCCACACGAUCCACUGCGGAAUCAACUUACCGUCCACGGCUUAAAUUGGAUGUUCCUCGCUUCUCCGGCGACGACGCUCCUGGAUGGAUCUUCAAGAUCUCCCAAUUCUUCACCUACCAUCAGACGCCUGAGGAGGAGAGAAUCACUAUUGCUUCGUUUUAUCUUGACGGCGCCGCUCUCGCGUGGUACCAGUGGAUGUAUCGCAACCGCCAAAUCGUGUCGUGGAACCAGUUUCUCACGGCGUUGGAGACACGUUUUGCACCUACCGCGUUCGAUGACCCUCGAGGGAAGCUUUUCAAGCUCACUCAGUCCUCCACCGUGACAGCUUACCUCACCGAAUUUGAAGCCCUUGCUAAUCGUUUGGAGGGUCUAUCAGAGGUAGAUCUGCUCAGCUGUUUCGUCUCGGGCCUUCGCAUGGACAUUCGUCGUGAGGUGCUUACACAGAGACCAAUCACCAUUUCUCAGGCAACUGGAUUAGCCCGAUUGCAAGAAGACAAGCUACAAGACAUCACUCGCAUGUCCCGUUCAAAAGUGUGGCAUUCUUCGUCAACUCCGACGAAGGAACUCAUCAAAGGGGGUUCCGAUUCCACGCCUCCUUCGACGAACACCGCUGGCCUCUUACCAACACCGGCGGCAAAGCCACGAUUCCGUCACCUAUCUAGUGCGGAGAUGGACGAGCGUCGUGAGAAGGGGCUCUGUUUUAAUUGUGACCAACGAUGGUCACGGCAACACAAAUGUGGUGCUCGUAUUUUUUUGAUGGUUGCUACUAGUGAUGAUGAUGAUCCUUUGAUAAGUGAAUUGGAGCAAGCAGUUGAUCUUUUGGACCCGGGUGAUUCUGAAAUUCAGGCCGCUCAAUUAAGUCUCCAUGCUUUAUCGGGUUCUCAUGCUGCGGACACUUUUCGUGUGGUGGGCAUGAUAGGUUCGCAUUCGGUUCAUGUGCUUGUUGAUGGAGGAAGCACUCAUAACUUCAUCCAAAACUCGCUUGCUCUGACCCUGGGGUUGAAUCGCAGUGACAUUCCCUUUUUUCGUGUUCUGGUGGGUAGUGGCCAAGAGCUUCUCUGUGAUAAGGUAUGUCAUGAUGUGACGAUGUUGAUACAGAAUAAUUCAUUUCAGCUUGAUUUGUAUUCCUUGGAUUUGCGUGGGGCUGAUAUCAUAUUAGGAGCACAAUGGUUGAAACAAUUGGGUCCGGUUUUGAUGAAUUACACCACCUUAACCAUGACUUUCUUCCACAACAACUCUUGUGUUGUGUUGCAAGGUGCUUCUCCAACACCCUCUGUGAGCCUCCAUUGCUUUCAAAAAAUGGCCCGUCUAGAACCCGAAGCCCACCUUUACUCACUCCAAAUACUAGACCAAACACCUUCCUAUCCAGAUACAGACCACCACCCACCCAAACCCUCUCUAAUAAUACCUGAGACCAUCCCAAUUGACCCCCAAAUACAAACCUUAAUUGACCGUUACCAACAUAUAUUCACAGAACCAACCUCCUUACCCCCAUCAAGGCCUACUGACCACACCAUACCCCUCUUGCCAAACACUGCCCCUGUAUCCGUCCGUCCCUAUCGUUACCCUCAUUCACAAAAGCUUGAAAUAGAGACCCAAGUGGCCAAAUUUCUUAGCUCCGGUUGGAUUCAACCAAGCACUAGUCCAUUCUCCUCACCGGUAUUGUUGUUGAAGAAGAAAGAUGGUUCUUGGCGUAUGUGUGUGGACUAUCGCGCUUUGAAUGCUCUCACAGUUCGUGACCGAUUUCCUUUGCCCACUAUUGACGAGUUAUUGGAUGAACUUGGUCAUGCGAGGAUUUUUUCCAAACUAGACCUCACUUCCGGAUUCCACCAGAUUCGUGUUGCCCCUCAAGAUGUGCACAAGACCGCAUUUCGCACCCAUGACGGCCAUUAUGAAUAUGUGCAUUUAGGAGCCCUUCCUUCUAAUUAUACGGCAUUUAAAGUGGCCGAACUUUUUGUCAAUCUGGUUUGCAAGCACCAUGGGUUACCUAAGAGCAUCAUUUCGGAUCGGGAUCCUAUUUUCAUUAGCAAGUUUUGGACCGAGUUGUUCAAAUUCAGUGGUACUUUGCUUCGCAUGAGCUCUUCUUAUCAUCCGCAAACUGACGGCCAAACUGAGGUAACAAAUCGCACCAUUGAGCAAUAUUUACGUGCAUUUGUUCAUCAUAAACCCUCUCUUUGGCACAAGUACCUACCUUGGGCAGAAUACCACUAUAAUACUGCUUUUCAUUCUUCUGCUGGUAUGACACCCUUUCAAGUGGUGUUUGGUAAGCCUCCUCCCUCCCUGCCUAUUUAUGUUGCUGGUGCGUCAAGUGUGGCAGCUACUGAUGCAUUACUGAAUGACCGAGAGGCUGUUUUGGAGUUGUUGCGCGUUAAUUUAGCCAAGGCACAGACUCGUAUGAAAGCAAUAGCUGAUGGCAAGCGCCGUGAUGUUUCUUAUGAGGUUGGUUCAUGGGUCCAUGUGAAGCUUCAACCUUAUAGGCAGUCAUCUGUUUCUGGGGGUAAGUACAACAAGCUCAAUAAAAGAUAUUAUGGUCCUUAUCGUGUUUUAGAACGGCUAGGUCCUGUGGCCUAUAAAUUAGAACUCCCUUCAAAUGCCAAAAUCCAUAAUGUGUUUCAUUGCUCACUUUUGAAGCCAUAUGUUGGUUCCAUUCCCCCCACAGUCACUGAGUUACCUGAGAAUUUUGUAGACAAUCAUCCCAUCAUCACUCCUUUGGCUCUCUUGGCUUCAAGAAUUGUCACCAAUGAUGCUGGUAACAAAGUCUCGCAGGUUCUGGUGCAAUGGGAUGGUCUUCAUCCAGAUGAUACAUCUUGGGAGAAUUGGAGUGAAAUUCAAGUUGUUUACAACCUUGAGGACAAGGUUGGUUUUGAUGGGGAUGGUAUUGAUACAAUUGAUACAAGCCCAACUGUGAAUGAUGCUUCUGGGCCAACUGGGAACACUGAGAAUGUGGUUAUUGGGCCUGAUAUGAGACCUGCUCGUGCUACCCGUUUACCAACCAAGUUUCGUGACCACAUCCUCUUCAAAUAAAGAUUCUCUUGCUUGCUUCCAGAAGGCCUCGUCACUAGUGUAUUUUCAAUUCUGUUAUGCAAUUCCAAUUACUAGAUUUCAUUAGAUUUC
rnacentral:lncRNA from 1 species